rnacentral:rRNA from 1 species
GUCCACGCCAUAAACGAUGAAUACUAGGUGUUGGGCGUGUUAAAACGCUCGGUACCGCAGCUAACGCGUUAAGUAUUCCGCCUGGGGAGUACGACCGCAAGGUUAAAACUCAAAGGAAUUGACGGGGGCCCGCACAAGCAGCGGAGCGUGUGGUUUAAUUCGAUGCAACGCGAAAAACCUUACCUGGACUUGACGUGUGCGUAGUAGUGAAGCGAAAGCGGAACGACCCUUCGGGGAGCGCAUGCAGGUGCUGCAUGGCUGUCGU